UCCUUUUCAUUCUCCUCAACAAACUUCUUCCUUCCCAUAUUGCAAAACAAAAACAGAGAGAGUGAAGAGGGAGCAAGAGAAGAGAGAUUUAUAUGGCUUGAGCAAGAUUGAAGCAAGCAAACAACAAAACAAACUCCUACAAACCUCCAUAAUCAUCUUACUUCAUCCUCUCCACAAAAAUAUUCAUAUUUUCUAGAGAGAGAGAGAGAAAUGGGUGGAGUGAUUUUACUUGAUUUAAGCUACGGGAGUGUUCAAGGAGAAAGGAAAUCAGAUUCUAGCGGGUGUUAGCACAUGAUCAAACAUCUUAGAGGAAAGAAAUCCAAGAAGUAAGCUCUUAAAACCCUAACCUUCCAUUUUAGCUCUUAAACUCAUCAUAUCUUGUUAGAUGUUAUUUUGAGUUUUAUGAGUUGUGAAACAUCCUAAGAGUGAUGAAAUUAGAGAUAUGGAGCUAGUA
rnacentral:lncRNA from 1 species